rnacentral:rRNA from 1 species
UACAGAGGGGGCAAGCGUUAUUCGGAAUUAUUGGGCGUAAAGGGCGCGUAGGCGGCUUGGCAAGUGGAUGGUGAAAUCCCUCGGCUUAACCGAGGAACUGCCGUCCAAACUGCUUAGCUUGAGACCGGGAGAGGUGAGUGGAAUUCCCAGUGUAGCGGUGAAAUGCGCAGAUAUCAGGAAGAACACCCGUGGCUAAGGCGGCUCUCUAGUACGGUACUGACGCUGAGACGCGAAAGCGUGGGGAGCGAACAGG